rnacentral:rRNA from 1 species
ACACGUAAGGGGCGAGCGUUGUUCGGAAUUAUUGGGCGUAAAGGGCGCGUAGGCGGUUCUGCAAGCCCGGCGUGAAAAUCUGGAGCUUAACUCCGGAACUGCGUUGGGAACUGCGGGACUAGAGUCAUAGAAGGGGAGUUGGAAUUCCAGGUGUAGGGGUGAAAUCUGUAGAUAUCUGGAAGAACACCGGUGGCGAAGGCGAACUCCUGGCUGAUGACUGACGCUGAGGCGACGAAAGUGCGGGGAGC